UUUUUAGUCAUCAUGAAAAACUACGCGAUUUAACUAGCUUAAAUAAAAGACAGGCACCAAUUCCAGGAAAAAUAAAAUAUUAUACAUCACAAUAAUCUGCGACAACAUCACACCAUUGGUUCAGAACAGAGGUUCAUUCAGAACAAGUAUGGCCAAUUCUACCCUAUGCAUACCGACAAUCUGAAUCCUCCCCCCUACUAAAAGCUACCUAUCCCAAAAGGGAAACAUAGUGCCUACGACUGCUCUUCACUUUCUCUUCUUAGCAGGAGGCUGUGGAACCUCUUCCUCCUCUUCUUCCUCCUCUUCAUCUUCUUCAUCCUCUUCAUCAUCAUCUUCAUCACCAUCAUCAUCGUCAUCAUCGUCAUCCUCAUCAUCACUUCCUCCUUCACCAUUAGCUUCAGGAUCAUCCUCAGGAUCUCCUUCCUCUCCCCCCUCUUCACCUGAGAAAUCACCAUCGCCUUCAUCAUCCGGGUCUUCUGCAUUAUCAUCAUCAUCUUCUUCAUCAUCAUCUUCUGUAUCACUAGCAUCUUUGUUUUCUGCAUCAGGGUGCUUGAUCUUGAAAAGUUCAUUUAGAGGAAACCUCUCAUCCAUUGCAGUUAAUUUUGGUAAUGCAUCGAUAUCAUUAGGUAAUGAUCCAACCACAAAGAACAGAUAAGCAAGAGACUUCCAAGCUGCAAGUGCAGUCUCUACCACCAUAGCUUCCAUAACAGAGCAUGCCCACAAGGUCCUCUCCACAGAACUGACACUACCCACCUCCAUUGCUAAAGAAAAAAACUAUACCCAAUAAACACAGAAACAAAAGAAAAAUCAGUAGGCGGGUUAGAGACGGAAGGAGU
rnacentral:misc_RNA from 1 species